GACGAACGCUGGAGGCGUGCCUAACACAUGCAAGUCGAACGAAGUGGCGAACGGGUGAGUAACGCGUAAUCAACCUGCCCUUCAGAGGGGGACAACAGGUGGAAACGACUGCUAAUACCGCAUACUGUAGGAGGGGAGUGCGUCUGAUUAGCAAGUUGGAGGGGUAACGGCACACCAAGGCGAUGAUGAGUAGCCGGUUGGAGAGGGUGAACGGCCCAAUUGGGACUGGGAAACGGCCCAGACGCCUACGGGAGGCAGCAGGGGGGAAUUAUCCGCAAUGGACGAAAGUCUGACGGAGCAACGCCGCGUGAGUGAUGACGGCCUUCGGGUUGUAAAGCUCUGUUAAUCGGGACGCGGUACCGGAAUAGAAAGCCACGGCUAACUACGUGCCAGCAGCCGCGGUAAUAC
rnacentral:rRNA from 1 species